rnacentral:misc_RNA from 1 species
GAGAUUGCUGAGGCUUACCUUGGCUCCGCCGUCAAGAAUGCUGUGGUUACUGUCCCUGCCUACUUCAAUGACUCACAGCGUCAGGCCACCAAGGAUGCUGGUGUGAUUGCUGGUCUUAAUGUGAUGCGUAUCAUCAAUGAGCCCACAGCUGCUGCCAUUGCAUAUGGUCUUGACAAGAAAGCCACCAGUGUUGGUGAGAAGAAUGUCUUGAUUUUU